rnacentral:rRNA from 1 species
GGAGCGGCAGACGGGUGAGUAACGCGUGGGAAUCUACCCAUCUCUACGGAAUAACCCAGGGAAACUUGGACUAAUACCGUAUACGUCCUAAUGGAGAAAGAUUUAUCGGAGAUGGAUGAGCCCGCGUUGGAUUAGCUAGUUGGUGGGGUAAUGGCCUACCAAGGCGACGAUCCAUAGCUGGUCUGAGAGGAUGAUCAACCACACUGGGACUGAGACACGGCCCAGACUCCUACGGGAGGCAGCAGUGGGGAAUAUUGGACAAUGGGCGCAAGCCUGAUCCAGCCAUGCCGCGUGAGUGAUGAAGGCCCUAGGGUUGUAAAGCUCUUUCACCGGUGAAGAUAAUGACGGUAACCGGAGAAGAAGCCCCGGCUAACUUCGUGCCAGCAGCCGCGGUAAUACGAAGGGGGCUAGCGUUGUUCGGAAUUACUGGGCGUAAAGCGCACGUAGGCGGACUAUUAAGUCAGGGGUGAAAUCCCGGGGCUCAACCCCGGAACUGCCUUUGAUACUGGUAGUCUAGAGU